rnacentral:tRNA from 1 species
UCCCAGGUGGCUCAGUAGUAAAGAAUCUGCCUGCCAAGCAGGAGACGCAGGUUCAAUCCCUGGGUUGGGAA